rnacentral:rRNA from 1 species
AUUGAACGCUGGCGGCAUGCUUUACACAUGCAAGUCGGACGGCAGCACAGAGAAGCUUGCUUCUUGGGUGGCGAGUGGCGAACGGGUGAGUAACGUAUCGGAACGUACCGAGCAGUGGGGGAUAACUAAUCGAAAGAUUAGCUAAUACCGCAUAUUUUCUGAGGAAGAAAGCAGGGGACCAUUUGGCCUUGCGCUGUUUGAGCGGCCGAUAUCUGAUUAGCUAGUUGGUGGGGUAAAGGCCUACCAAGGCGACGAUCAGUAGCGGGUCUGAGAGGAUGAUCCGCCACACUGGGACUGAGACACGGCCCAGACUCCUACGGGAGGCAGCAGUGGGGAAUUUUGGACAAUGGGCGCAAGCCUGAUCCAGCCAUGCCGCGUGUCUGAAGAAGGCCUUCGGGUUGUAAAGGACUUUUGUCAGGGAAGAAAAGGGCGGGGUUAAUACCCCUGUCUGAUG